rnacentral:rRNA from 1 species
GUAGGGUGCAAGCGUUAAUCGGAAUUACUGGGCGUAAAGCGUGCGCAGGCGGUUGUGUAAGACAGGCGUGAAAUCCCCGGGCUCAACCUGGGAAUUGCGCUUGUGACUGCACGGCUGGAGUGCGGCAGAGGGGGAUGGAAUUCCGCGUGUAGCAGUGAAAUGCGUAGAUAUGCGGAGGAACACCGAUGGCGAAGGCAAUCCCCUGGGCCUGCACUGACGCUCAUGCACGAAAGCGUGGGGAGCAAAC